rnacentral:rRNA from 1 species
UACAGAGGGUGCGAGCGUUAAUCGGAGUUACUGGGCGUAAAGGGCGCGUAGGCGGUUAUAUAAGAUUGAUGUGAAAUCCCUGGGCUUAACCCAGGAACUGCAUUGAUAACUGUAUGACUGGAGUACUGUAGAGGGUAGUGGAAUUUCCGGUGUAGCGGUGAAAUGCGUAGAGAUCGGAAGGAACACCAGUGGCGAAGGCGGCUACCUGGACAGAUACUGACGCUGAGGCGCGAGAGCGUGGGGAGCAAACAGG